UUGUAGCUCAGUUGGUAGAGCCCCGGAUUGUGAUUCCGGUUGUCGUGGGUUCAAGUCCCAUCAG
rnacentral:tRNA from 1 species